rnacentral:lncRNA from 1 species
AGCUGUGGAAGAAAAACUUGAAGAACCAGAGGUUGAGGAGAAACAUGAAAAACCAGCAGCUGAAGAGAAACCUAGAGAACUAGUAGUUGAAGAAAAAGCUGAAGAACCAACACCGGAAGAACUAGAAUUUGAAGAGAAACCUGAAGAACCAACUGCUGAAGAAAUACCUGAACAAUUAGUAGUUGAAGAGAAAUCUGAAAAACCAGAGGUUAAAGAGGAGAAGUCUGAAAAGGUAACUCUCUUGGAAAAAGUGAGGAUCAAGCACUAUCACAAAGUUUAUCCAUCCUAUUAGUUCUGUAUGUGCAAAGAUUCGUAUCUACUUAUCAAUUGAAAGAUUAAGUGAAACUUUAAAUUCUUCUUGCAGAAUAUGUCAGUUGUAGAUUUCAAUGAGAAGACUGACAGUGAAAUUCCAUGCAAUACCAACAAUGAUGUUGCCGACUAUGUAUCAGUUGAGGCAAACCUUGAAGAACCGGUAGUUGAAGAAAAACCUGAAGAAACAACGGUUGAGAAGAAACCUGAAGAACCAUCAAUUGAGGAGAAACGUGAAACACCAGCAUUUGAGAAGAAACCUGAAGAACCAAUAAUUGAGGAGAAACCUGAAGAACAAACAAUUGAAGAGGAGAAACAUGAAAGGAUAACUCUCCUGGAAAAGGUGAGGAUCAAGCAUUGUCACAAAGUUUAUCCAUCUUGUUAGUCGUGUAUACGAUACAAUUUACAUAUGCUUACCUACUGAAAGACUAAGUAAGACUUUAAAGUUCUUCUUGCAGAGUAUUCCAGUUGUAGUCCCGAACGACAAAACUGAAAGUAAAACUCCAAGCAUUACAAACAAUAAUGCUGCUCACUUUUCAGAAGUUGAGGAAAACCCUGAAGAACCUGCAGUAAAAGAAAAAACUGAAAAACCAGUUCUUGAAGAGAAACCUGAAGAACCAACAGUUGAAGAGAAAUCUGAAGAACCAGUUGAGGAGAAACCUGAAGAACCAACAGCUGAAGAGAAACCUGAAGAACCAGCAACUAAAGAAAAACAAGUGCUAGUAGGGGAGGAAACAGCUGAAGAACUAGCGCUUGAAGAGAAACCUGAAGAACUAACGAUUGAACAGACAGAUGAAGAACUAGUUGUUGAAGAUAAAACUGAAAAACCACCAAAUAAAGAGGAGAGACCUGAAACGGUAACUCUCCUUUAGCAGUGUCACAGAGUUUAUCCAUCCUAUUAGUUCUAUAUGUGCAACGAAUUCAUAUCUGUUUAUCUAUUGAAAUACUAAGUGAAAAUUCAAAUUUUCUUGCAGAAUUUGCCCAUUGCAGACUCAAAGGACCAGACUGACAAUGCAAUUCCAUGCGAUACCAACAAUGAUAUUGCUGACUAUGCAACAGUUGAGGAAAAACCUGAAGAAACAGUAGUUGAAGAAAAACAUGAAGAACCUGCAAUUGAAAAGAAAUUUGAAGAAUCAACAGUUAUGGAGAAACCUGAAGAACCAGCAGUGGAAGAAAAACCUGAAGAACCAACAGUUAAAGAGGAACCUGAAAAAUCAGUGAUGGAAGAGAAACCUGAAGAACCAAUUGUUGAGGAGAAACUUGAAGAACCAACUGUUGAAGAGAAACCUGAAAAAUCACUGAUUGAAGAAACACCUGAAGAACCAAUAUGGGAAGAAACACCUAAAGAACUAGCAUUUGAAGAGAAACCAGAAGAACCAGCAGUUGAAGAGGAGAAACCUGAAAAGGUAACUCUUUUGGAAGAGGUGAGUAUCAAGCAUUAGCACAUAGUUUAUCCAUCAUGUUAUUUCUGUAUGUGCAUCGAUUCACAUCUGCUUAUCUAUUGAAAGUCUAAAUGAGACUUUAAAUUCUUCUUGCAGAAUAUACCAGCUGUAGAUUUCAACGACAAGACUGACCGUGAAAUUCCAUGCGAUACCAACAAUGAUAUUGCUGACUAUGCAACAGUUGAGGAAAAACCUGAAGAACCGGUAGUUGAAGAAAAACAUGAAGAACCUGCAAUUGAAAAGAAAUUUGAAGAAUCAACGGUUAUGGAGAAACCUGAAAAACCAGUGGUUAAGGUACAACCUGAAGAACCAGCAGUGGAAGAAAAAGUUGAAGAACCAACAGUUAAUGAGGAACCUGAAAAAUCAGCGAUGGAAGAGAACCCUGAAGAAUCAAUUGUUGAGGAGAAACUUGAAGAACCAACUGUUGAAGAGAAACCUGAAAAAUCACUGAUUGAAGAAACACCUGAAGAACCAAUAUGGAAAGAAACACCUAAAGAACUAGCAUUUGAAGAGCAACCAGAAGAACCAGCAGUUGAAGAGGAGAAACCUGAAAAGGUAUCUCUUUUGGAAG